UAGGGAAUCUUCGGCAAUGGGGGGCACCCUGACCGAGCAACGCCGCGUGAGUGAAGAAGGUUUUCGGAUCGUAAAGCUCUGUUGUUAAGGAAGAACGAGUGUGAGAAUGGAAAGUUCAUGCUGUGACGGUACUUAACCAGAAAGGGACGGCUAACUACGUGCCAGCAGCCGCGGUAAUACGUAGGUCCCGAGCGUUGUCCGGAUUUAUUGGGUUUAAAGGGAGCGUAGGCCGUUUGGUAAGCGUGUUGUGAAAUGUAGGAGCUCAACUUCUAGAUUGCAGCGCGAACUGUCAGACUUGAGUGCGCACAACGUAGGCGGAAUUCAUGGUGUAGCGGUGAAAUGCUUAGAUAUCAUGAAGAACUCCGAUUGCGAAGGCAGCUUACGGGAGCGCAACUGACGCUGAAGCUCGAAGGUGCGGGUAUCGAACAGG
rnacentral:rRNA from 1 species